rnacentral:lncRNA from 1 species
GUGUCGCUUCUCUUCUUUCCAGAAUAAAUUAAUCAACACGCCUCUGUGUCCUAUAGGUACAGUGCAUAGUCGCAUUUGUCAUCCAUUCAUAUGACUAUUCAGAUUGAGUUAUUUUAGGAGAAAAACGAGAAAAAAGGCAUCCGGAUAUUGUCCCGUCAUUGUACGAAAUUUUAAGUCAGAUUAGACUUCCGGUUGCGUUUUUCUGUAUACUUUGAACAUACAUAUACUACGAAUAAAGUGUAUUUUCAGAAUUUUAUCUGCUAUCAUUUUCAAGUUUACUAUCCACGGUGGUCACAGAGUUUAUUAAAUAGAGAGGGUCUGUAUACUAUAUCAAUGAUCACCAUGGAUUGAUUAGUAAACUUAGAAUUGAAAGUAAAUACGCUUUAUUUAUAUAGUAAUGAAUGUUCAUAAUAUACAGAUAAGCGCUAAAAUUAUUCAUGUGAACUUUUGAUACUUUUUCUCCAGUCAUUAAAUCUUUUACAAAAUUCAUUGAUUACAUAAAAAAAAAGAAGAUAUGUGGUAUGAUUGCCAUGUUAAGACAACUCUCCACAAGAGACCAAAAUGACACAGAUAUUAACAACUAUAGGUCACCGUACGGCCUUCAACAAAGAGCAAAGCCCAUACCGCAUACUCAGCUUCAAAAGGCCCGAAAUGACAAUGUAAAACAAUGCAAACGAGAAAACUAGCGGCCUUAUUUAUGUACAAAAAAUGAACGAAAAACAAAUAUGUAACACAUAAACAAACGACAACCG